AUUGAACGCUGGCGGCAGGCCUAACACAUGCAAGUCGAGCGAGCGGCGGACGGGUGAGUAAUGUAUGGGAAACUGCCUGAUGGAGGGGGAUAACUACUGGAAACGGUAGCUAAUACCGCAUACCAUCAGAUGUGCCCAGAUGGGAUGUGCUAGUAGGUGGGGUAACGGCUCACCUAGGCGACGAUCCCUAGCUGGUCUGAGAGGAUGACCAGCCACACGGGGACUGGGCCACGGUCCAGCCUCCUACGUGAGGCAUCAGUGGGGAAUAUUGCACAAGGGGCUCAAGCCUGAUGCAGGCAAGCCGCGUGUGUGAAGAAGGCCUUCUGGUUGUAAAGCACUUUCAGCGGGGAGGCGUUACCCGCAGAAGAAGCACCGGCUAACUCCGUGCCAGCAGCCGCGGUAAUAC
rnacentral:rRNA from 1 species